AAUCCUUUACAACAAUAUGGCAUCAUCUGGUAAAAAAAAGUCUGUUCUUAUCAGCUUAAUAUCUGUCAUAUCCUGCAUCACAGGACUAUAAUGUUAAACUCGUUUUGGGCUCAUGGUGGAGCGCUAAGAGCAUGCUCUGCCUCUGUCACAGGAAUUCCUUCUCGGUCUCGAACUCUCCUGAGGUAGUCGCAUUCCUU